rnacentral:rRNA from 1 species
AUUAUGCUACCUUUGCACAGUUAAAAUACUGCGGCCAUUUAAAAACUUUCAGUGGGCAGGUUAGACUUUAAAUUUAUUUCAAAAAGACAUGUUUUUGUUAAACAGGCGGAUAUAAUUUUAGCCGAAUUCUUUACUUAAACUUAUCAUUUAAAUUUAUUUUACAAUAAAAUAUACUAAUUCUAUCAUUAUUACUUAAUUUUAAAAAUUAAAAUUAAUAUUUCAAUAAAAAUUUAAAAUAUAAUAAAUAAUUUAAUUUAUAAAAUAAAUUAUAACAUAAUUUUAAAUAAUUGCUAAUUCUAAGCAUAUAUUUUUUAAAUUUAUUUAUUAUUUAUAAAAAUUUAUUUUAUAGCUUAUCCCAUAAAAUAUUAAAAUUAUAAUUAUUUAACUAAAAAAUUUUUUAAAUAAAUUUAUAAUUUCUAAAUUAAAUUUAUUUCUUGAAAAACUAGAUACCUUUAAAAACGAAUAACAUUUCAUUUCUAAUAUAAUAUUAAAAAUAAUUUUAUUACAUUAACUUUUAUAUUAUAUUAACUCUUUUAAAAUCGAGAAAAAUAUAUUUAAAUAUUUUUUAUUUAAUAAACGCUGAUACACAAGGUACGAUAAAUUAAAUCUUCUUUUAAAAUAAAAAUUUUUCAAAAUAUUUCAAUUUUCUUUUACAAUACUACUAAACUAUUAUUAAAAUUAUUUUUUCUUUAAACAAUACUAAAAACUUUUUCUUAUAAAAUUAUUUUUAAUAUUUUUAUUCAAAAUUAAUAAAAUUAAUAAAUAAAAUCUAA